rnacentral:lncRNA from 1 species
GCAGUACACUUACUUGUUUUUGUUUAAAGUGAUGUUUGCAAUGUUUUUGUUGCAUGUAAAAUAAUACUGUAUUGAAAAUAGUUUGACAUCCUUUUUCUAGGUUUUUAUUGUUUAGAAUUUUAGAAUGGUUUUAGUAAGAAUUGUAUAAGAAUGCUUCUGUUUGAUAAGUAGAUAUAUAUGCAAACUUGUGAGUGAUCAGUUUCAGAAUUGUAUGAUUUGCAUGGCAAUUUCAAAGGCCAUUGUUUUGGUGCUCAAGAAAUUACUGGAAAAUAAUGUUUUUAAUUCCUUUCUUAAAUAUUCGUGACAUUUGUAUUUCUACCUGGGCAGGAUGCAGAGAAAAGUGGGCAGUCACCGUUGUGUAUUGUUUUGUCUUUUCGAUGCAAGUACAGGAAAGCAAUAUUAUAUGUGACAGGUGACAGCUGAAAGACAGUUUAUAUUCCAAGGAAGAAAGGAGGUCUACACAGCAGAUUACAAAUGUCAUGUUAUAUUCUUCACACUUGAUAAUUUCUGGGUUUUAUUUCAUUGGAUGGGUAUUGAAGAAUGAUAUAUAUAUAUAUGGUUUAUGAUGAUGGGAAGCAACAAAAUUUUAAUAUAUUAUGUAUCACAGCUAUAUGUUGUCAGUCUGUAUAAGUGGAUGGUUAUUUGGGUUUUAGGAUACAUUUUAUGUGACUAUAAUUUCCUUUCAUUGUAAAGUUGAUACCAAUGAUGAUUUGGUAGAUUUGCUUCUUUUCUUUAUUCUGCAGCAAUAAACCUGCAAUGGUUCAUUUUCUGAAAUUCUUCUUUUAGGAGAUACUGUGAAUAUUAGCAUGGUUAGUACAAAUAUAUCACUUUUCAUUUUAGAUCAGUUAUAAGUGCCACUGUUGGACUGCUGUUUUUCAAUAAGAAAUCAUCAGUGAGGGUUGUUUGAGAAACUAAUCAAUAGGAAAAAAUACUUCAAAUUUCUUUUUGUGAACCUUCUAUAUUAAUGAAGGAAAAAAACUAGCAGCAACCCAUGAAUAUUAAGUUUAUCUAUCAGCUUAGGAUAUAUCAAAAUCUGUGAUAACUUUUUGAGAUAAAAAGGAAGCCAGUGAGAAUAUAUGUACAUAUGUUAAAAACAAUUUUUUUUUCAAAAGUUUUAUAACUGCAAUCAUUACAUGGUUGUUACUAAUAGAAUAUGGUCUCUAACAACUGAACAGACACCUUAAGAUGUCAUAGCCACAAUCCUGUCAUUGUUUGAUUAUUUUCAACUAAUAUUAUCACUUAGAUUUGUAAAUGUGUUGAGCAACUAGAGGUUCUUGAGCUCUUCCAACACUUUGUUUUAUCAGAUUUGUUCAUGUUAACACUUUGUUUGUUGUCCCCCUUUCAUGUAUUUGAAUUAUAUAUUAUAUAUUUAUUAUUGUUCUCAUGUAAAAUAAUCAACAAUCAAUUGUACACUUACAUUAAACUUGUAAUUGCUAUGCUCAUUUGUGUGGUCGUAAUUGACAUUUAAUAAAAUAUUGUAUUAUGGUACUGUUAUUUGCAGCAUGAUCUUCUGAUACUACCCAAGUACUUGAGUUCACCUCUGUGUUUUAGUGAGGUCAAUUUUGCUUCAUAUAGUUUUCAAUGUUUUGUAGGCAAAUUAGUAUGUUUACUUAUUUUUUGCCAUGAUAUGCCCUGAUACGCACCCCUUGGUAUACUCUUUAUAUUAGUUUUGAUUAUAUCUAUUAUUUUAUACAAUUGUUAAAUUUCAAGCUUUUAGUUAGUAAAAGGUGACACUCCUAAACUGUAGCCAUUAAUCAAUCAAGCAAGCUAAAUUGUCUUACAGAGAAUAAAUAAGUAUACAUCACAAUUAAAUAUAUACUAUUUAAAAAAUAACCUGUAGUUACAAAAUGUUAUUUGAAGAAUGAAAAUGUACUUUGAUCCAUUUUUUAUAUACAAAUAUUUUGUGAAAAUGUUACUAUGAGUAUUAGUGGUAUUAUAAUUAUUGUAAAAAAAAUAUUCCUUCAACAACAUAAUGUCAUGCACUGCUGAGCUAUUCUUUUUUGCUUUAUACGGUCAUUUCAAGACAGAAUAUAAAAAUGUGAUAUAUUGACAAGAUUGGUCUACUAGUAUUUAUUUUUUACUUCAUUUAGGGUCUAAUAUUUGUUGGAUUAGUUUGUAAUGUAACUCAUAUAAAUGUAUACUUGUGUGAUUUAAAUGCAAUAAUUAUAAUGUAUAUACAUGACAUGUAUAUAUGUUCUUAA